rnacentral:rRNA from 1 species
ACGCUGGCGGAAUGCUUUACACAUGCAAGUCGAACGAAUGAACCUUAACUUGCUAGGGGGAUUAGUGGCGGACGGGUGAGUAAUAUAUCGGAACGUGUCCAUUAAUGGGGGAUAACUAGCCGAAAGGUUGGCUAAUACCGCAUACGCCCUGAGGGGGAAAGCUGGGGAUCUUCGGACCUGGCGUUAAUGGAGCGGCCGAUACCUGAUUAGCUAGUUGGUAGGGUAAUGGCCUACCAAGGCAACGAUCANUAGCUGGUCUGAGAGGACGACCAGCCACACUGGGACUGAGACACGGCCCAGACUCCUACNGGAGGCAGCANUGGGGAAUUUUGGACAAUGGGGGCAACCCUGAUCCAGCCAUUCCGCGUGAGUGAAGAAGGCCUUCGGGUUGUAAAGCUCCUUCGCAAGGGAAGAAAAGAUACAGGUUAAUAGCUUGNGUUGAUGACCGUACCUUGACNAGAAGCACCGGCUAACUACGUGCCAGCAGCCGCGGUAAUACGUAGGGUGCAAGCGUUAAUCGGAAUUACUGGGCGUAAAGCGUGCGCAGGCUGUUUG